rnacentral:rRNA from 1 species
UAGCGGGAGGCUAACACAUGCAAGCCGAGCGGUAUUGUUUCUUCGGAAAUAGAGAGAGCGGCGUACGGGUGCGGAACACGUGUGCAACCUGCCUUUAUCUGGGGGAUAGCCUUUACGAAAGGAAGAUUAAUACUCCAUAAUAUAUUGAUUGGCAUCAAUUAAUAUUGAAAGCUCCGGCGGAUAGAGAUGGGCACGCGCAAGAUUAGCUAGUGGUGAGGUAACGGCUCACCAAGGCGAUGAUCUUUAGGGGGCCUGAGAGGGUGAUCCCCCACACUGGUACUGAGACACGGACCAGACUCCUACGGGAGGCAGCAGUGAGGAAUAUUGGUCAAUGGGUGCAAGCCUGAACCAGCCAUCCCGCGUGAAGGACGACUGCCCUAUGGGUUGUAAACUUCUUUUGUAUAGGGAUAAACCUACCCUCGUGAGGGUAGCUGAAGGUACUAUACGAAUAAGCACCGGCUAACUCCGUG